rnacentral:rRNA from 1 species
GAUUGAACGCUGGCGGCAGGCCUAACACAUGCAAGUCGAGCGGUAGAGAGAAGCUUGCUUCUCUUGAGAGCGGCGGACGGGUGAGUAAUGCCUAGGAAUCUGCCUGGUAGUGGGGGAUAACGUUCGGAAACGGACGCUAAUACCGCAUACGUCCUACGGGAGAAAGCAGGGGACCUUCGGGCCUUGCGCUAUCAGAUGAGCCUAGGUCGGAUUAGCUAGUUGGUGAGGUAAUGGCUCACCAAGGCGACGAUCCGUAACUGGUCUGAGAGGAUGAUCAGUCACACUGGAACUGAGACACGGUCCAGACUCCUACGGGAGGCAGCAGUGGGGAAUAUUGGACAAUGGGCGAAAGCCUGAUCCAGCCAUGCCGCGUGUGUGAAGAAGGUCUUCGGAUUGUAAAGCACUUUAAGUUGGGAGGAAGGGCAGUUACCUAAUACGUGAUUGUUUUGACGUUACCGACAGAAUAAGCACCGGCUAACUCUGUGCCAGCAGCCGCGGUAAUACAGAGGGUGCAAGCGUUAAUCGGAAUUACUGGGCGUAAAGCGCGCGUAGGUGGUUAGUUAAGUUGGAUGUGAAAUCCCCGGGCUCAACCUGGGAACUGCAUUCAAAACUGACUGACUAGAGUAUGGUAGAGGGUGGUGGAAUUUCCUGUGUAGCGGUGAAAUGCGUAGAUAUAGGAAGGAACACCAGUGGCGAAGGCGACC